rnacentral:rRNA from 1 species
UACCACUCUGAACAUAUUAAUCUUGUCUGAUCUCAGAAGUAUACAAUCUUGGGCUUGGGUAGUGCUUGGAUGGGAGACCAUCAGGUAAUACCAGGAU